UACGUAGGGCGCGAGCGUUGUCCGGAAUCAUUGGGCGUAAAGAGCUCGUAGGCGGCCGGUUGCGUCUGCUGUGAAAUCCCGGGGCUUAACCCCGGGCGUGCAGUGGAUACGGGCUGGCUGGAGGCAGGCAGGGGAGAAUGGAAUUCCCGGUGUAGCGGUGAAAUGCGCAGAUAUCGGGAGGAACACCGGUGGCGAAGGCGGUUCUCUGGGCAUUACCUGACGCUGAGGAGCGAAAGCGUGGGGAGCGAACAGG
rnacentral:rRNA from 1 species